GCAGUUGAGCGCUGAAGGUUGGUACUUGUACCGACUGGAUGAGCAGCGAACGGGUGAGUAACGCGUGGGGAAUCUGCCUUUGAGCGGGGGACAACAUUUGGAAACGAAUGCUAAUACCGCAUAACAACUUUAAACACAAGUUUUAAGUUUGAAAGAUGCAAUUGCAUCACUCAAAGAUGAUCCCGCGUUGUAUUAGCUAGUUGGUGAGGUAAAGGCUCACCAAGGCGAUGAUACAUAGCCGACCUGAGAGGGUGAUCGGCCACAUUGGGACUGAGACACGGCCCAAACUCCUACGGGAGGCAGCAGUAGGGAAUCUUCGGCAAUGGACGAAAGUCUGACCGAGCAACGCCGCGUGAGUGAAGAAGGUUUUCGGAUCGUAAAACUCUGUUGGUAGAGAAGAACGUUGGUGAGAGUGGAAAGCUCAUCGGGUGACGGUAACUACCCAGAAAGGGA
rnacentral:rRNA from 1 species